rnacentral:rRNA from 1 species
CCUACGGGAGGCUGCAGUGAGGAAUAUUGGUCAAUGGACGCAAGUCUGAACCAGCCAAGCCGCGUGCAGGAAGACGGCUCUAUGAGUUGUAAACUGCUUUUGUACGAGGGUAAACGCAGAUACGCGUAUCUGUCUGAAAGUAUCGUACGAAUAAGGAUCGGCUAACUCCGUGCCCGCAGCCGCGGUAAUACGGAGGAUUCAAGCGUUAUCCGGAUUUAUUGGGUUUAAAGGGUGCGUAGGCGGUCGGAUAAGUUAGUGGUGAAAUCCCGAGGCUCAACUUCGGAAUUGCCUUUGAUACUGGCAGGCUAGAGAGUAGUUGAGGUAGGCGGAAUGUAUGGUGUAGCGGUGAAAUGCUUAGAUAUCAUACAGAACACCGAUUGCGAAGGCAGCUUACCAAGCUACUUCUGACGUUGAGGCACGAAAGUGUGGGGAGCAAACAGGAUUAGAUACCCGAGUAGUC